AGGCCCUCCUGUCUGCACGCCACCCCUGCUGGCUGCAGUGACUCCAUCUCCAGACCGUGUGUGUGUAUGUGUAUGAGUGUGCGUGGUGUGUCUGUGUAUGGUGUCUAUGCAUGUAUGAUGUGUGUAAAUAGUAUGAUGUAUUUGUGUAUGCGUAUCUAUGUGGUGUGUGUGUAUGGUGUCUAUAUAGUGUAGUGUGUGUGCAUGUAUGAUGUGAGUGGUACAGUGUGUGCACAGCUGUAUGUGGUGUCUGUGAUGCUGUGUGAAUGUGUGCAUGUGUGGGGUAUGUAUGUACAUGUAUGGUGUAAGUGGGAUGGUAUGUAUCUGUAUGUGGUGGUGUGCGUGUGUUUGUGGUAUGGUGUGUCUGUGUGCAUGUGUACAUGUAUAGUGUGAGUGGGAUGGUAUGGUAUUUGUGCGUAUGCAUGUAUGGUUUGUGUGUGUGGCAUAGUACGUGGUAUAAUGUGUGUGUGGUAUAUGUGUGCACCUGUAUCUGUAUGGUGUCUGCGCAUGAGUGGACAUGUGUGCGUAUGUGGUGUGGUGUGUGUAGUGUAAUGUGUGGUGUGUAUGUGCGCAAUGCACAUAUUGUGCGAGUGUGUAUGUGAUGUUUGGUGUGCAUGUGUGGUGUGAGUGUAUGUGCACAUAUGGUGCAUAAGUGCCUGUGUGGGGUGGUGUACUGUGAUGUGUGAUGUAUGAAUCUAUGUAUGUGCAUAUAUAUGGUGCGAGUGUGUGCAUACGUGAUUGGUUGUGUGUGGGUGCCUCUAUGGUGUGUGCAUGUUCUGUGUGGUGUGUGCCUGUGUGUAUGUGGAUAUGUGCAUGUAUGGUGUGAGUUUAGUGUGGUGUGGCACAUGUGUGUAUGUGGAUGUGUGGUAUGUGAGUGCAUGAUGUACCUGUGUAUGUACAUGUAUGGUGCGGAGUGCGCACGUGUGAUGUGGUGUGGUACAUGCGUAAGUACAUGUGUGGUGUGGUGGGUGUGUGUGCAUGGUGUGGAAUGUGCACGUGUGUGAUGUGUGGCACAUGCAUAUGUACGUGUAUGGUGCACGUGUGUGUAGUGUGGUAUAGCGUAGCAUGGUGCAUGCUCCACGCUCCUCUGGGACCCUCAAGCUUCCCUGCCUCCUCUGUGGGGACCCCUGGGUGACGUCUUGCUGUAGAGGAGAGGGCGCUGCUGUGCAAUUCUGGUCCAGAUGGUCCUGGCUGUGUCCCUGCAGGGCAGUGGCUGAGCCC
rnacentral:lncRNA from 1 species